rnacentral:lncRNA from 1 species
AAAGAAAAAAACCCUAAGGCAGCUAGCAAAAAGGGCAGUGUCUGUUGUCUCUUUGACAGUUAUUGUGAUGCAAGUGAAGUCAACUCUGCCUUUAUGAUGUACUCCUUGCUGCAGGUGAUUAAUUCCCUAGUUACCAACACCUGUUGUGAUUGCUCCAGUUUGUCUCCCAGUAACUGUGAGUUUGCCUUGGCAGGUGAUUCACUGACAGGUUUAUUAACCAAGAGUUCCAAGAUAGACUUCUGGGCUGGAAGAAUUUAUGCACCAAGCCAGCAGAAGACAACCCUCAGUGGUUUCCCAAUACAGUCACCUUUCUUAUUUCUGGAUUUGAAAUACAAGUCCUUAGUUCUAGUUGUCCACACUCCCAACAAAUGCCAUUUCCUGUGGCAACAGAUGGGGUUUUGUUCUUGAUCAUCCAUAACAUCCUCAGUUCAGGCACAGUAUCAAGAAAUUCUCAACAAAAUCUCCUAGACUGUUGUGUUGGUCCAUUAUGCUGUGGUUUGUAAAUGCCAAGAAGAGAAAUGAUAGUAAGAAGACCAGCAUCAAAACAAAACUAAAUGUGUAUACCACAAAAGGGUUGGAAGCUUGUGGGAAAUACUGGAAAAAAAUUACACUGUAUACCAUGUUCAUCAGAGGAAAAGGAGUUUCCUCACUUAGACAUACCCUAACAGGACACUGAAUGAUAAAAGUAUUAAAUGCUAAUGUAACAUAACCCGAGCUGGACUGGGUGGGUGAGGAAUUUAUGGGAUUACAUAUCCAAAAAUCCCACAACCAAGUUGAAUGCUGAACUUUUCCCCCCUUUGGUGUUUUGCUUUGCUUUGGCCACCUGACCCUUUUCCAUUGCCCCCAUUGCCUCCACUUACCUGUUGCUGAAGCCACUGCCUCCACCAUUGGUGUCUCUGCCAUCUUGGUUGCUAUUCUCAGAGGCAGCAAGCCCAGCUUUCCUGCCAGGAGCUGGCCAUUGCCCCUGAGCAUGUGCCUGCCUAUCAGAUGGGCGGCGGGUGCAUGCCCAGAGGCCACACCUGGAUUCCUUGUGAGGAGCCUGCCGCUGCCUCUGACCAUGCAGAGGCAGUGGGAGGAGAGGUGGAGGUGGAGGUGGCAGCAGCAAGUAGAGCCCCAUCCAGACACGAACUGGGAUGAACCAGUUCAUUUUCCAGAGGUUCAUGGUGGUUAGCUAUGAGCCAUGAACCACCAGUUUUCCACUUCAUGCCUAUCUCCAGUGACAACAAAUUCGUGCCACUAAUUUCAUGUAAAUCUGGUGAAAAAAACCUCUUUGAUUAAUUUGAUCGUAAAGCCAAUUUGCUCUGCAUAUUAUACUUAAAUCAGACUUCAGAUAAAAACCAGGAGCCAUCUUAAAAAAAAAGAAAAAAACAUUUUCCAAGGGAAAAUAACAGGUUCUUUCGUUUAAUAAAAUAUAUUAGAGAAAGAAAUUUACUACA